ACACUUACCUGGCAGAGCAGUGGUUUUCCCAGGGCUAAGCUUAUCCAUUGUACUCCAGAUGUGCUGAUGCUUGAGAUUUCCCCAAAUGUGGGAAAUUUGUGAUUUAUGGUAGUCAGGGACUGCAUUAGUGCUCUCCCCUC
rnacentral:snRNA from 1 species